CUCUCCGCGGGCGGGCGUGCGCUCGCUUGCCCCCUGCCUGCGGGGACACGCAAAAGUUGGCGGGGACGACCGGGCGACCGACGGGACGACAUCGACCGCCGCCAACACCGCGAUCGCGCGGGCUCUUUCGCGGUGACCCGAUCGGCGACGAAUGUAGUCGACGCUGCCAGCGCCGCGACCAGCCGGAUGGAAGACGAGGUUGACGAUGCGCGUCUGCGCUGGCCCCCGCCGCUGCACAGCGAGCCGAUGCCAUCGGAUGCGGACUCUGGCUACGAGCCAUCGCCGGCCUUCUUCACCUCUGGCCGCGCAGCGUUCGUAUUCGACUGGCCUCAGGAGGAGGAAGCCAACGCCGAAGACACUGUCGUCAUCGUCGGGGACGAUACGCCGCCGUCGUCGUCGUCGCCGCCUCAGCGUUCGUCGGCUAUCCCGAUACCGAGAAGGUCAUCACCGGACUGGCGGUCGCCCUGGCCCGAAGCCGUGGAUGCCACGACCCAGACGUCUCCGCGACGGUCGCUGCCCCUGUCGCCGACGCCUUUUGAGAGCGACGCCGGCCCUGGCAGUCUGCUUCUGAGACUGCUCGAAGAGGCCACCAUUCCGGACCUGGUGCCUCGCGUCGAAGAGCGCUUUCAGCGCGCCUCCACGCGACGCCUGAGCUGGGCCCUGGUCGGCGUGCAACUACGCAACAUCAGCGACAGUUUCGCCUUGUCGCGGAGUGCUCCCACGGGACGGCGGUGCGGGCUGGGGCUCACGUUGAGAUCCGACUAGCAGACGACGGACGGCAGGGCAGGUGCUCCGUCUGCUAGGACUUUACCGGGGACGCUGGAUUGGAUUGGCUCGGCCUUCAGAGCAAAGCCUGCUGAUGACGUCACCAUUAGAUUGACAGAUAAACAGAUCUCGUGACAAAGUUUUUUUUAAAUUUUUUUAUUGUGAAUUUUUUUAUAUUAUUCUUAACUCCGAGGUCGUCGAAAACGAAAGUUUCUACCUAUUUUUUUUUUAUGGUUAAGCUCGGCGAGCUUGAUAUGUGUCCCCGACGAAACUAAACACUUGGUGAAUACAUGCUGACCACACUGGGGUCACAGGUUUCCAUUAAGUUUGUCCAAAGCAACGUUUUCAUAACAAUGCCAGGUCCAGAUGAAGGAAACUAAACUUUGAACGAGCAACAGCUUAGAGCUUAUGAGCUGAAUGCGAGUACAGCAAUCACAUCUAUGAUGUACCAAGUGAAUUUGGCUGAUAGAGCAUGUAUUGAUUAAGUGUUUUGGAUUGGCGGAUAGAUCUCGUGACAAAGCUUUUUUAUAUAUCUCAUUUUUAACCUUGACAUUAAAAACAAAAAGUGCAACUUAUAUUUUUGUAUGGCUAAGCUCAAACUUCGUAUAACCCUAUGACAAAACUGAACACUUGGUCAAUUGAUGCUGGCUACACUGGAGGCUCAGGCUUUUAUCCGAGUUUGUCCAAAGAAACUAUUCAGGUUUACAUAAAUGAACUUAAAUAUAAGAGAAUCAACAGCUUAAAGCUGGGUUACACCAUUUGCUAUUAUGAAGCAGCCUUGGUGUAUGAAGCAUGUAUUGAUCAAGUGUUUACUACUACCUGAGCAGGAAUCAUGGUAGUGGUACAUGCAGAGACGGUGUUUGUUUUUCGACCCAGUAAAGUUAUAAGCAUGAUUAAUGUUUGUGACAAAAAAAAAUUGGGGAAAAGUGUGAUUUCUCUUUUUUUAUGAUUCGUUUCAACCAGUCGAAGAAACGGACACUGUUGCCGACAGCUCUGGAGUUGUCGCCAUCUUCAAAAUCAAACGUAAAUGAAACUUUUCUUUUUUAAUAGAAGCAUGUGCAUUAUUUUUGUUACAGCAACGUUUGAAGAAAAAACAAAUCAUUUUUUGUGUGUGUUUUUCUGCGUGCUGUUGGCUACGACAGGUUCUAACGUAUGCUCAGCUGCGUCGUCUGCCAUUUAUAGACUCCCGGUGUGGGAGUUCUCAACGAGUGCCUUUUGAGAAUGUUUUUUAAUAAGGUUCCGAAAUGUGUUGGAAGGGCCACUUAUAACGAUUUUUCCCUCACUGCGGAAACUGACGGACAUAAGUAAUGUUGACGAUGACUUAUAUAGAUCUCAAUUAAUCUUUACAAAAAGCCUGGUACACAGCAUUACGUAAAGGUUCAUGCACCUUUUGCGAGACAUGGGCGUGUUUCCUCUGGCUCGCAUUUAUUUUAAGUUAACUGGACGUAGAAAUAUUUUCUCUUUCUCCCCAGGAUUCGGGAGAGCGAAAAAACAGAUUUUCUGCCUUGCAGAAGAUCAAGUGUGUAUGCCCGGUUUGCAAGGCAGAAAAUAGGGCCAUUGAUUGCAGUAUUUUUUUUUUCUUUAUCCAGCAAUACAGUAUUUUAAUAUCCAUAGUAUUAGGCUGAAAGGAAUGACAUGCAUUUAAAUUACAUUACAUCUCAUUCUUCCUCUGGAGGAAUGAGAUAAGAAAACAAAAAUCUUUGAAGUGGCCCUUAAGCCAUAUUUUCAGUGUCUGGUUGAGUAACCAGUGUGGAACACCUUCGCUAUGGCGUACAGUCGUGGACAGAACAAACCAGAACAAGUCGGCACUUUUUUGUUAGGUGGGUGCACGGAUGGAUACAGCUGAAUCCUUUCAGUUGGGUGGCAACCAGAAAAGCCUUGAUUUUUUUUUUUAGGGAGUUUUAUGCUUCCUUAGCACAUAAUGUACACAUGUUACAUGCCGUCACCCAGUUGUGUUCACAUGUGCGAUGAAGUGCAUUCGGGCGUUCCGGUUCUCUUUGUGCAGCGACUGUGCCCUACGUAGGAUUCUUGUCAGUCUUGUGCCUUAAAUUUAUCACUGCCAGCGGGUUAGGAAACUAUGUCCAGCGUCAUCUUUGAAGGAACAGUGCUGGCCUUGACCGGGAAAGAGAUACAGUGUGCGUGCGUGUGCUACAGCAAUUUGAACUUUUUGACAGAAGACAUCCAUAUUACAUACAUACAAUAUGGACUAAUGUCUCAAUCUUUUUUUUUUUUUUUUUUUAAGGUCAUACUCGUAAGCGUACGGCAUUCUUUUUCUUUCCAUGGUCUCGAGGCGUCCUGCUCACAGAUUAUGGACCAAAGGGGCGUCGGGGCCAAAAAUACAUGAUCUUGAGUAUUUUUUUUUUUUUGUCUGUCCCUCUUCCUAUGUAUACAUAACAUUUAAAAGAAAGAAAAAAGCUCUUUGCUGCGGUUUUGUGCCGCCUUCGAUCUCAAAGUUGUGUGUGAUAGCCAAUAAAGCGGCUCUGUUUUUGA
rnacentral:lncRNA from 1 species